rnacentral:piRNA from 1 species
AUAUGAUGACUGAUUACCUGAGA